UGUUAAUAAUUUAUAUAAAAUAUUUUGAUGAAUAUUUAUAUAAUAUUAACAUAAUUCAUAUUACUAUUUUUUUUUUUUUAGUAUAUGAAAUUUUACUUUGAGAAAAUUAGAGUGCUUAAAGCAGGCAUAUGCCUUGAAUACUCCAGCAUGGAAUAAUAUUAAAGAUUUUUAUCUUUUUUAUUGGUUUUAAGAUGAGAAUAAUGAUUAAUAGGGACAGUUGGGGGCAUUUGUAUUUAACAGUCAGAGGUGAAAUUCUUAGAUUUGUUAAAGACAAACUAAUGCGAAAGCAUUUGCCAAGGAUGUUUUCAUUAAUCAAGAACGAAAGUUAGGGGAUCGAAGACGAUCAGAUACCGUCGUAGUCUUAACCAUAAACUAUGCCAACUAGAGAUUGGAGGUUGUU
rnacentral:rRNA from 1 species